GGCCUGUUGGUCUAGUGGUAUGAUUCCUGCUUUGGGUGCUUGAAUUCCCGGGUUCAAAUCCCGGACAGGCCC